UUCAGCAGUGGUGGCACCGUGAGGCUCGUCGACUGGCUACUAAAGCAAAUCGUCUUCCUUUUCCCAGGAAUCGACGUCUAUCAAGAAACAUCGGUGCUACCAUCCAUCGGUGCGACGUCCAGUGGCACAAACGUUGGAUAACAAGCCUGACGUCAUCACCGAGAACGUAUAAAAAGAAGAAAACAUCGUGUGUCCUGUCACACACAUUCAGCAGUGGUGGCACCGUGAGGCUCGUCGACUGGCUACUAAAGCAAAUCGUCUUCCUUUUCCCAGGAAUCGACGUCUAUCAAGAAACAUCGGUGCUACCAUCCAUCGGUGCGACGUCCAGUGGCACAAACGUUGGAUAACAAGCCUGACGUCAUCACCGAGAACGUAUAAAAAGAAGAAAACAUCGUGUGUCCUGUCACACACAUUCAGCAGUGGUGGCACCGUGAGGCUCGUCGACUGGCUACUAAAGCAAAUCGUCUUCCUUUUCCCAGGAAUCGACGUCUAUCAAGAAACAUCGGUGCUACCAUCCAUCGGUGCGACGUCCAGUGGCACAAACGUUGGAUAACAAGCCUGACGUCAUCACCGAGAACGUAUAAAAAGAAGAAAACAUCGUGUGUCCUGUCACACACAUUCAGCAGUGGUGGCACCGUGAGGCUCGUCGACUGGCUACUAAAGCAAAUCGUCUUCCUUUUCCCAGGAAUCGACGUCUAUCAAGAAACAUCGGUGCUACCAUCCAUCGGUGCGACGUCCAGUGGCACAAACGUUGGAUAACAAGCCUGACGUCAUCACCGAGAACGUAUAAAAAGAAGAAAACAUCGUGUGUCCUGUCACACACAUUCAGCAGUGGUGGCACCGUGAGGCUCGUCGACUGGCUACUAAAGCAAAUCGUCUUCCUUUUCCCAGGUUGGUGCUCAUCUGUAUGUAAAA